rnacentral:rRNA from 1 species
UCGAGCGUGAUAGCGCGUUCGAUCGAAGAACCCCGCCGGCAUCCGCCGGAGGAUCCCUAAAGCUUUCCCCCGCCCCCGGUGUCUGGGAAGGGUAUACCCCCCAUCCCCCCCCCCGGCAAGCCCCGACCCCCAAGAUUGGGAACAACCGCCAAAGGCUCGGCCGACAAUGACACGACGAAGGGGCUUGAACAUCUCGCCGUAGACGGUGAAAGCCCGGGGCAUGAAACGGUCUAGCCGGUCGAAUGCAGUAAAGCGCGCAAACCGUGCUUGAACCUUAUUAGACCCAUGGGGACCCACCCUCUCACCCACGAAUCCCCCCAUCGACCGAUAGCGCUCAAGUACCGUGAGGGAAUGGUGGACCGGCCCUACGCAAGGGAGCGACUUCGAGAACUGAACCUCGAUGCUGAUCGAUCAGUCGGGACUGGCCGGGGUGCCAAACCACCCGACCUUCAAAAGCACGGUGGGGACCCGACCCACGGCGUACCUUUUGCAUAAUGGGUCAGCGAGUCGUGGGGAAGCAGCGGCUUAAGCCGGUAGGUGUAGGUUCGACCACGGUGGCUGUGGUCCCGCCGGUCCCCGUCUAACCCGAACCCGAUUGAUCUAGCCAUCCGCAGGUUGAUGGGGGCGUACAGCCCAAUCGUCGGAAGACCGCACCCCGGCAUGUGGCAGAAUGCGGGGAUGACGGGUGGCUAGGGGUGAAAGGCCAACCAAGAUCGGAGAUAGCUGGUUUUCCGCGAAAUCUAUUUAUGUAGAGCGCCGAUGCUACGUUGGCCCGGGGUAGAGCACCGGCGGGGCACGGCUGGCCAUUCCCGAGCGCCACCGUGCCCGUGGCAACACCGAAUACGGGCCGCCUCGCGGAUCCGUCCGUGCAGACAGAGUCUGGGUGCGAAGAUCCGGGCUCGAAAGGGGAAUAGCCCAGAUCGUCCGCUAAGGUCCCGAAGCGAUCACUGCGUGGGGAUACACGAGAGUGAAGGGCGUGAUCCGGCGAUGACCCCCAGCGGUGGGCUUGGAAGCAGCCAUCCCGUAAGAGAAAGCGUACUGGCUCACUGGGAGAGCGGGUCCGACCGAGGAUGAUCGGGGCGGAAGUGAGGAUCACCGAAGCGACGGGACCAACCACGAUCGAGAGCAGAGCCGGCCGCCGUGCCGGCGCGCAUCGAGUAGUGUCCGUAGCGGAACGUUCUGUUCGCCUACCCCCGGAUGACCGGGCGGGUGGAUCGCACAGAAGUGAGAAUGCUGACAUGAGUAAUGAUAAAUGGAGAGUGAAACUCGCAUCGCCAGCAGUUGCCGGGUUUCCGCGUGCAAUGGAACUACGCGGGGUUACUCGGCCCCCGAGAGGCGCCGAUCGGGCCCACGAUGGGGACGCCAACGCCAAGGAGCCAAGCGAGAACGUCGUAUCGACUGCCGCGACCGGAGGGGGUUCGAUCGAUGGGCACGGUGGAGCGGGGAACCGCCCGUUCCCCCUUUCGGCACGGGAUCCGCGGGCAGAGCGGACACUUCGGAAAGGAAGGGGGCCAGUCAUGGUCGAGCAGCACCGGUCACCGCUCCCCGACGAUCGCUAUGCACGGCCGGUGAUCCACAACCCCUGGGCGGCUAUCGGAUCGUCUCCAAACCCAUCGUGGUCCCCGCCCCGGGUGUUGGGGAGCGGGCUCUCCACAUCCCCCCCUCUCACGUAAACCCGGUGUACCGCCCCGACGUAUUCGCCGUAACUGAACCCGACACUGGGUUACUGGUGAAGGACACUGAGGCGCGUGAGAACCAUGCUGAAGGAACUAGGCAAAAUGACCCCGUAACCUCGGGAGAAGGGGGUUCCACGGGAAUGGACCGGAGGGGGGCACGGAACCGGGGGUAGCGACUGUUUAUUAAAAACACAGGACUCUGCGAAGUGCGAACACGACGUAUAGAGUCUGAAACUUGCCCGGUGCCGGAAGGUGAAGAGGAGAGGUUACGCAGCCUCGAAUCGAAUUCCCGGUAAACGGCGGCAGUAACUCUAACUGUCCUAAGGUAGCGAAAUUCAUUGUCGCAUAAGUAGCGACCUGCACGAAUAGUGUAACGACUGCCCCGCUGUCUCCAGCAUGGGCCCAAUGAAAUUGACCUCUCCGUGAAGAUGCGGAUUGCCCACGGCUAGACGGUAAGACCCCGUGCACCUUAACUAUAGCUUCGCAGUGACAACCUUGAUCGAAUGUGUAGGAUAGGUGGGAGGUGGUGACACACAACGACCAAUCCUGAAAGACCACUCUUUCGUCUAAGGAUGCCUAACCGCCGCACCGAAAAAUCGGGGGGGGGCGGGACACUGCGAGGUGGGUAGUUUAUCUGGGGCGGAUGCCUUCGAAAGAGUAUCGAGGGUGUACAAAGGCGGGUACCCCACUGAUUUUAACGGUGGAUGAAGUAUAAUGGCAAAAACUCGCUUGACUGCAACAGAGACAUCUGGAGCAGGGGUCCCAAGUAAUUGGGGCCGGUCAUAGUGAUCCGG